rnacentral:rRNA from 1 species
AGUGAACGCUGGCGGUAGGCCUAACACAUGCAAGUCGAACGGCAGCACAGUAAGAGCUUGCUCUUACGGGUGGCGAGUGGCGGACGGGUGAGGAAUACAUCGGAAUCUACUUUUUCGUGGGGGAUAACGUAGGGAAACCUACGCUAAUACCGCAUACGACCUACGGGUGAAAGCAGGGGAUCUUCGGACCUUGCGCGAUUGAAUGAGCCGAUGUCGGAUUAGCUAGUUGGCGGGGUAAAGGCCCACCAAGGCGACGAUCCGUAGCUGGUCUGAGAGGAUGAUCAGCCACACUGGAACUGAGACACGGUCCAGACUCCUACGGGAGGCAGCAGUGGGGAAUAUUGGACAAUGGGCGCAAGCCUGAUCCAGCCAUACCGCGUGGGUGAAGAAGGCCUUCGGGUUGUAAAGCCCUUUUGUCGGGAAAGAAAAGCAGCAGGUUAAUACCCCGCUGUUCUGACGGUACCCAAAGAAUAAGCACCGGCUAACUUCGUG